AUCAUGGAGAGUUUGAUCCUGGCUCAGAACGAACGCUGGCGGCGCGUCUUAAGCAUGCAAGUCGGGCGAUAUUCGGGGGCGACCCUGAUGAAAGCGGCGGACUGGUGAGUAACGCGUGGGUGGCCUGCCCCGGGGAUGGGGACAGCCUUUGGAAACAGAGGGUAAUACCGAAUACGCCCGGCCACUCACGAGUGGUCGGGGAAAGGGGCCAC
rnacentral:rRNA from 1 species